AUUGAACGCUGGCGGCAGGCUUAACACAUGCAAGUCGAGCGGAGAUGAGGUGCUUGCACCUUAUCUUAGCGGCGGACGGGUGAGUAAUGCUUAGGAAUCUGCCUAUUAGUGGGGGACAACAUUCCGAAAGGAAUGCUAAUACCGCAUACGUCCUACGGGAGAAAGCAGUGGAUCUUCGGACCUUGCGCUAAUCGAUGAGCCAACGUCGGAUUAGCUAGGUGGUGGGGUAAAGGCCUACCAAGGCGACGAUCUGUAGCGGGUCUGAGAGGAUGAUCCGCCACACUGGGACUGAGACACGGCCCAGACUCCUACGGGAGGCAGCAGUGGGGAAUAUUGGACAAUGGGGGGAACCCUGAUCCAGCCAUGCCGCGUGUGUGAAGAAGGCCUUAUGGUUGUAAAGCACUUUAAGCGAGGAGGAGGCUACUGAGACUAAUACUCUUGGAUAGUGGACGUUACUCGCAGAAUAAGCACCGGCUAACUCUGUGCCAGCAGCCGCGGUAACAC
rnacentral:rRNA from 1 species